rnacentral:lncRNA from 1 species
AGACUUCUACACUAGAAGCUAGUAACAUCCCAUCCAUCCAUCCACCAAAUAAAGUUCCACAUAUGGUGUGAACUCUCUCUCCGAAUGUAUCCUUGCAAAAGAGACAUGAGCUAUGCAAAAAGAAAUAAAGCCAUGCUCAAAGCAUGAUGAAAAAAGAGAGAAAAAGAUAAAAAGAUAGCCCAUGUCCAAAAGAAAGAGAAAAGGAGAGAUGGAAUCAUACAAAAGGAGUCUAUGUACCAU